CCUAAGAACCUUUUCCUGGGAGUGAGCCCCACUGAAUAGACCUGAGCAGGAUUCUGAGUAGACCUGCUUAGGACUGGUCUGUAGGGUCUGUAUGGUUUGGUUUUGGUCUCUAUUCCACAGUGGCAAAUACCAGAAAGAAACCAGAAUUUAUGCAGCAAGGUGGAGGGAAGUGUCCAGAAGCUACCAAAGCUAGUAGGGACUCAAGGCUUGGAAAAGAACUGAAGAGCUGAGGAAGCCCCUCCCCUUCCAGGAUCAAUCAGAUCGACUGACCCUGCACUGAAGAGGAGGAGUUGCAUCCCAAAAGUAUGGACUGACCCACUCCCAGUACACUGAGAAAGGAAACUUUAUGCAGCCACUGUUGCUGAUGCUGUGGGUUGGGGAGCCUUGUGAACAAAACAUCACACGGAACAAGGGGCUGAUAUGAGGAAGAUGGAGGCACUUGCCUGCAUGGCAUUUUGUCCACGAGUAGCAUGAUAUACACUGCCAUAUGCUUGAUGGCCUAAUGAAUUUAAUUCUUCAUCUUCUGGAUGACCCUAUGGAUGAACUAGGAGUGACAGCAAUGGAAAACUGCUGAUAUAUAUAUA